rnacentral:rRNA from 1 species
UGGUGUUGAUCUGAAUCAAUUAUUUUUCUGCUCGAUCUGAAACUAACGUUGCGACGAAACCAAUUAUUUACAGCACCGUCGGCUUGUCGAAAACUAUGCCUAAGAAACGUUCGAAUAUCCCCUUUAUUGCGCAGUGUCGGCUUAAAACAACUCUUCCUCGCCAACGAUGUUCCACUUCCACUUAAGUUGCGACUUUGUGCCGACAACUGAACGACACUGUUUCGCAGCGUGCAGUACGAAUCGUCCAUUUCAAGUGAAUUAUUCUCUUUUUCAAUGGAUAAAGAAAGCCGAUCGCAUUUGACGGAGCUGUGAACGGUCGACUGACACUGGCUAUCACUAAUAGGCAACGGCUUGUUCAAAUCGACCACCAGCGAAGAAGAAAUGCUUUUCCAAAUGCUCUUGUUGGCAGAUUUUAUUGCAGUUAAAGUGUUGUCCGGGCAUUUCAUCCUUUUACAUUUGGCGAACACUGCAUCAACGUUGUUGUAAUAUUCCAACGAAUCUAUGAACCGUUGAUUCAUAUAUCUGUGAGCAAUGCAAGCUACACAACCGCAACGCAAUUCACCUAUUAAUCUACUAUUUCUACCCAGCUUCAUUUUUGAACGCAAAUUCACGUUCGCUUUUCCUUGUGCAAUGACGAAAUCACAAGCCUUCAAGCAAUGCUUCUCAUUUGCAAUUUCUUCACUUUUGCAAUUCAUCAUUAAACAAGUAGAUUCUUCUUCCAAAUCGCCUUUCUCGUUUCCAAUCUGAAGUGGAGCAAGGUUCCAUGUGAACAGCAGUUGGACAUGGGUCAGUCGAUCCUAAGAAAACGGCGAAAGCUUGUUCGAAUUUGCGACAUGAAUUGUAAGACUGAAUAAUUAUUUGUGUGUGUGUUGUGGUGGAGGCGAUUGUGUCGUCACCAGUUGUUGUUGUGUGCAGUUGUCGUAUGUUUUCGAAAGGGAAUCCGGUUGAUAUUCCGGAACCGAGUAACGGAGACAAAGAGUAGCGCUUUAAUCUCUCUGUGGGGUUGGCGUUCAACUCAAUCGCGCGGUAACGCAAGCGAACUCGGAAAAUGACCGUCGUGAGUUUCGAAAAGAGUUUUCUUUUCUUUUUAAGGGACGCAUUCCCUGGAACCGGGUUGUCCGGAGAUAGGGAUUCUGGUAUCCAUAAAACGCCGUUUUUCGCUUCUUUGCCGCUGAAGAUGAUCUCUGGGACGCUUGAUCAUCCAUAAAUUCCGCCAACAAACCAAACGAACUCUCAGAACAUGCUGGUGACGCCUGGUAAAUCUCGUACUUGGUCGUACUGAUAUCCGCAGCAGGUCUCCAAGGUGAAUAGCCUCUGGCCGAUAGAAUAAUGUAGGUAAGGGAAGUCGGCAAAACGGAUCCGUAACUUCGGAACAAGGAUUGGCUCUAAGGGCUGGGCCGAUCGGGCUGAGGUUUCAAGCGUGCAGUGUAUGCUUGGCUUAGCUGUGUUGAGGACUUGUUCACUUGCCACCGGUUGUUCGGCUGGUCGAGUGUAUUCGAGUCUGAAGCAGAGCUGGCCGACAGACCGGCACGUGCAGAACCUGAGCUGCGCGGCUGUCCGUUUUCGUGUACAGACCGUUUCGGUCGGCAUUCAACAGCCAACUUAGAACUGGCACGGACACAAGGAAUCUGACUGUAUAAUUAAAACAAAGCAUUGCGAUGGCCGAUGAUCGGUGAUGACGCAAUGUGAUUUCUGCCCAGUGCUCUGAAUGUCAAAGUGAAGAAAUUCAAUCAAGCGCGGGUAAACGGCGGGAGUAACUAUGACUCUCUUAAGGUAGCCAAAUGCCUCGUCAUCUAAUUAGUGACGCGUAUGAAUGGAUCAACAAGAUUCCUUCUGUCCCUAUCUACUAUCUAGCGAAACCACAGCCAAGGGAACGGGCUUGGCAAAAUCAGCGGGGAAAGAAGACCCUGUUGAGCUUGACUCUAGUCUGACUCUGUGAAGAGACAUGAAAGGUGUAGCAUAGGUGGGAGAUUGUCAAUUUGCCAUCGUUCACGCGAUGGU